UAUCCAUCUCAGCACUUGUGGAGGAGAGGCAGGAGGAUGACGACUCAUUACAGGUCAGCCUGGGCUACAUCAUGAGUUUGAAGCCAACCGGAGCUAUGUGAGAUCCUGUCUACAGAAGAGAAAGCAUUGAGAAAAGAAUUUUCACAGCUAAGAUAUCAAAAGAAGUGGGGAGGCUAAGGAAGUUUUUGGCUUUAAAAGAUAAAUUCUAGAACAGAGUGAGGCCCUGGCUGACAACUGGAUGCCACCUGACCUUCCAGGUGUUCCAGCACAGGCAGGCUUCUGGAACCCACUUUGUCCAUAGCACGGAAGACCGGAAGUCCCCAGUAAGUAGCAUGCCUGGAG